CAUUCACAUCGCUGUGAUAGCCCAAGUUUUUCUCCUCCGGCUCACCCACCACACUGUUUAGGGGUAGGGCCGUCCUCCUUUUCCUAGAGUCGUUCGCUACGAAACAGGCGAUUACUUCCAGCCUCACAGAACAAGGCGUUUCUUCCCCCAACAGGUAUCCAGUAGUCUCCAAUCGUCUUCCAACCACUAUGGUUUACUUCGUCCCACACAGCCACGCCAGCUUCAGCCUGAGAGGAAA